GAUGAACGCUGGCGGCGUGCCUAAUACAUGCAAGUCGAGCGAACAGACGAGGAGCUUGCUCCUCUGACGUUAGCGGCGGACGGAUGAGUAACACGUGGAUAACCUACCUAUAAGACUGGGAUAACUUCGGGAAACCGGAGCUAAUACCGGAUAAUAUAUUGAACCGCAUGGUUCAAUAGUGAAAGACGGUUUUGCUGUCACUUAUAGAUGGAUCCGCGCCGCAUUAGCUAGUUGGUAAGGUAACGGCUUACCAAGGCAACGAUGCGUAGCCGACCUGAGAGGGUGAUCGGCCACACUGGAACUGAGACACGGUCCAGACUCCUACGGGAGGCAGCAGUAGGGAAUCUUCCGCAAUGGGCGAAAGCCUGACGGAGCAACGCCGCGUGAGUGAUGAAGGUCUUCGGAUCGUAAAACUCUGUUAUUAGGGAAGAACAAAUGUGUAAGUAACUAUGCACGCCUUGACGGUACCUAAUCAGAAAGCCACGGCUAACUACGUG
rnacentral:rRNA from 1 species